GAUGAACGCUGGCGGCGUGCUUAACACAUGCAAGUCGAACGGUGAAGCAGGAGCUUGCUCCUGUGGAUCAGUGGCGAACGGGUGAGUAACACGUGAGCAAUCUGCCCUGGACUCUGGGAUAAGCGUUGGAAACGACGUCUAAUACCGGAUACGAGGCGUGGGGGCAUCCCCAACGCCUGGAAAGAACUUCGGUCCAGGAUGAGCUCGCGGCCUAUCAGGUAGUUAGUGAGGUAACGGCUCACCAAGCCUACGACGGGUAGCCGGCCUGGGAGGGUGACCGGCCACACUGGGACUGAGACACGGCCCAGACUCCUACGGGAGGCAGCAGUGGGGAAUAUUGCACAAUGGGCGCAAGCCUGAUGCAGUAACGCCGCGUGAGGGACGACGGCCUUCGGGUUGUAAACCUCUUUUAGCAGGGAAGAAGCGAAAGUGACGGUACCUGCAGAAAAAGCACCGGCUAACUACGUGCCAGCAGCCGCCGUAAUAC
rnacentral:rRNA from 1 species